UACGGGGGGGGCAAGCGUUGUUCGGAAUUACUGGGCGUAAAGGGCUCGUAGGCGGCCAACUAAGUCAGACGUGAAAUCCCCAGGCUCAACCUGGGAACUGCGUCUGAUACUGGUUGGCUUGAAUCCGGGAGAGGGAUGCAGAAUUCCAGGUGUAGCGGUGAAAUGCGUAGAUAUCUGGAGGAAUACCGGUGGUGAAGGCGGCUUUCUGGACUGCUGCUGACGCUGAUACACGAAAGCGUGGGGAGCAAACAGG
rnacentral:rRNA from 1 species